GUCUAUGGCCAUACCACCCUGAACACUCCUGAUCUCGUCUGAUCUCAGAAGCUAAGCAUGGUCGAGCCUGGUUAGUACUUGGAUGGGAGGAGUCUGAGGUAUUUUUCCCA
rnacentral:rRNA from 1 species